rnacentral:lncRNA from 1 species
GAAUUAAUGGAAACUGUCAACAGCCCGCCCCUGACCUCACUGGAUAUAACUGUGUCCUCGGCAGACCUUCAGUUUGUCAGAACCAGUUGGGAUGCAACAGGAUUUUCAGUUUUGCUGUCUUCCAUGCAUGAAUGGCUGUUGGAAUGACCAAGAUGAUUUUUCCACCCAUUCUUGGGACCUGGACUAUGAUGGCCACAGCAGCUAAAGAUGCCAGGUUCUGCAUACUAUGAAACUACUACAUCAGCAGGUCCCAAGGACUCCACUAACUCAACUGAUCUGAGGGACCCCAUGAGAAGCCUACUCAUCAAAGAAUGCAGUUUCUAAAUCCUGAUGAGUUCACCCCCCUUCCCCUGACCAAUCAACAACCCUAAUUCUCCAGUCCCUUGCCCUCCAUGAUCCUCUUAAAAACCCUAGCCCAGAAUUCCUCAGGAAGAUGGAUUUGAGGGUCUCCUUCCAACUCCUCACUCAGUGCCCUGUGGUCAUUAAACUUUCUCUGCUGCA